CAAGAAUACUGGAGCAGGUUGCCAUGCCCUCCUCCAGGGGACCUUCCAGACCCAGUGAUCAAACUCCCAUCUCUUAUGUCUCCUGCACUGGCAGAUGAGUGAGGUAAACAAAACAUGAUUGGGCUGGAGGAAGCCAGGGGAGACAUGACUUCACUUUGCAACCUCGACAGUGUCAACUGAGAAAAAAAAACACAAUGUGGGGGUUGUGAGUUAAAUUUUAUUUGGAGCAAAACAUGGGCUCUAGCCCAGGAGACAGCCUCUCAGAGAGCUCUGCGGAACUGCUCUGGAGGGAAGAGCUCAAAUACCCAGUAUGACGAUCCUGGAAUCUAACAGCAACUUGAGAGAAUUGAAACUGGGAUUUCAAUGACAAGAAUGGCCUUUGGGGCAGAGA
ensembl:lncRNA